CUACAGGAGUGGCUUCUGUGAGGAGAUGCUGGAAGCUUCCUCCACAUCUGGCAGAGCCAAGGUCGGCUGGAUCCAGGAUGGACCAAGGCCAGCGAGGGUCAAACAAAGCUAAACAGCCAGGCAGUGUGAUGCUGAACAAAGGAUGCCACCCCUCCCCAGCCUCUCAGGUGCAUUGGAAGAUUUCACAGCUUUGCUAUCAAGAACUAGAUGAUGAGAGCCCUUCUUCCACUACUUCAGUCUAAUGAAGCACUGAUGUUAAUCACGUUCAAAUGCUAUGCUCAGCUUGAAGGAUGGCAGUGACCCAGAGAAUUCUUCUACCUGGAAAAAACAAAAAAAAAGAGAAAACAAGGGAGAUAAAUCUUG